AUGAUCUGCGCAUGUGCAACACGUGAGGCGGGGCUGAAGCCUGGAGCCUCAGUGUAUAUGCUCCUAGUGGGGGGAGGGGCUGUCUCAGUGUAUAUCCUUCGCUUUAAAGGCCCACAAAAAAGGAACAAACAUGGAAGUCUGAGCGGCUCUGACUGGAUCCGGGGCCAUAGCGGGACUUUGUUCCUCCCGCAGGGGAGAGAAGGGGCAGCUGGCCCCAGAGCCAGGAACCAGCUGUGGGAGGGGGUGCAUUCCCAGGAUGGGGGAGAUGCUAGUCCGGCUCCUGCCCCCGGGCGCACACAGAGGAAGUCUCUCCCCCUCGGGCUGCCACCCCCUGAAGGACCCCAGGGUGGCCCCGCAGAGAGCCCGCAGCCAGAGGAAUGGCCCCCGGGACCCCGAGUUCCCCCUCCCAGGCGUCAAUAGCAUUCAAGGAUGUGGCUGUGGACUUCACCCAGGAAGAGUGGUGCCUAUUGGCCCAUUCUCAGAAAGAGCUGUACCUGGAGGUCUUGCUGGAGAAUGUGCAGAAUCUACUCUCUGUGGGGCUUCCAGUUCCUAGAGAAAAUUUUAUCUCCUGUUUUCAGCAAGGGAAUGUAUGGCAUGGCUACUAGAUCGAAAAGGCCCAAGGAGCUGCUGUGCAGAGGCAGAGAAUAAUUUUGAAGUGAAGGAGAUGUCUACAAAGCUGAGCCUUUUUGUGAAAGGAUCUGGCCCCAAAAGAUGCAUGACUAAGGAGCUCCAUGACUUUAUUUUGAGAGAAAUCUGUGCCCCUAAUAUCAAGGUAAAUAAAAAUCCAAAGAGUGACA
rnacentral:lncRNA from 1 species